UUUUUUCAGAAAAAUUACAAUAAAAGUUUUUUUAAAAAAUUAUGGUAAGAUAAAUAAAUUUAACAUAAAUUUUAAAUAUAAUUCUAGUAGUUUUGUAUUUUCUUACUUUAAUAUCUUGUUGUUUAAAGUGUAUCAAUUUUUUUUUUUCGUCACCCCCUUCGUUAACUUUUCGUUAAAUAAUAUACAAAAAAAACUUCAGAUACCUUACUUAUAGUUUAUUGAAUAUUCACUUAAAUACCUUUUAAUUUUAACUUUGUUUAUCGAAAAAAAUAAAUAAAAGGGAUAACAAAAAAAAAUAAAAUAAAAUCAAAGGGUACGAAAGUAAUACACUUUAAACCACAUAAUAUUGAAGUAAGAAAGUGCGAAAUUACAGAGAGGUGAUAUUUGAAGUUUUUCCAAAAAUUUAAGAAAAAAAAUUUAAUUGAUUAGAGAGGUAUGCACAUGACUCGUAUGACAACUAUAUUUUAGAAGGUUUUUUUUGCAUUUAGCCUCUUAACAAUUUAUUUUUGCCGAUAGCUCUAUAAAAUUUAUAUUUACAAAAUUAGUACUAUCUCUGCCACGUGAGCACCAUGAUGAGAGUUUAAGUUGAACACGGUGAAUCAUUCGCCAUGUUCAAAUACAUUAAAUUAGUCCCUGUGUUCAAGCGUUAUUUAUAAUCCCAUCCGCACGAUCUCUCUCUCCCCCUCUCUCUCUCUCUCCUCCCGAGCUUUUUCCAUCUCUCUUUGUGCCCCCUCCUCGAACUCUCUGCCGCAGCCAUUCGUCACCCGCUGCAUCCCCUCUCUCCUCCUCCACCUCCUCCUCCUGUACCGUCCUUCAUGGUGGUUUUUUUUAUGAUCUCUGAGGUCUCAUAGAAAACCCACCAUCAGCACACAUCCACAGUGACUUGGCGGUUAAAGGGAUACAAGGGAAAACACGGUAAAUCAUUCGCCGUGUUAAAAUACGGUGAAUUAUUUAUCAUAUUCAACUUAAACUUUUUUUUUUCAAUAUGCCGCUUAUGUGACGCAUACAUAGUCGAGAUAGAGUAAAUUUUAUAAAUAUAAAUUUUAUGAGACUAUUUGUGAAAGAAAAAAAAAUGUUAAGCAGUUAAAUGCAAAAAAAAAAAAAAAAAAAAAAA
rnacentral:lncRNA from 1 species